rnacentral:rRNA from 1 species
GAAGGCCUGGCUUUUGUUGGGUUGGAUUAGUGGCGAACGGGUGAGUAAUACGUGAGUAACCUACCUUUAACUCUGGGAUAAGCCUGGGAAACUGGGUCUAAUACCGGAUACGACCAAUCUCCGCAUGGGGUGUUGGUGGAAAGCGUUAUGUAGUGGUUAUAGAUGGGCUCACGGCCUAUCAGCUUGUUGGUGAGGUAACGGCUCACCAAGGCGACGACGGGUAGCCGGCCUGAGAGGGUGACCGGCCACACUGGGACUGAGACACGGCCCAGACUCCUACGGGAGGCAGCAGUGGGGAAUAUUGCACAAUGGGCGCAAGCCUGAUGCAGCGACGCCGCGUGAGGGAUGACGGCCUUCGGGUUGUAAACCUCUGUUAGCAGGGAAGAAGAGAGAUUGACGGUACCUGCAGAGAAAGCGCCGGCUAACUACGUGCCAGCAGCCGCGGUAAUACGUAGGGCGCGAGCGUUGUCCGGAAUUAUUGGGCGUAAAGAGCUUGUAGGCGGUUUGUCGCGUCUGCUGUGAAAGGCCGGAGCUUAACUCCGUGUAUUGCAGUGGGUACGGGCAGACUAGAGUGCAGUAGGGGAGACUGGAAUUCCUGGUGUAGCGGUGGAAUGCGCAGAUAUCAGGAGGAACACCGAUGGCGAAGGCAGGUCUCUGGGCUGUAACUGACGCUGAGAAGCGAAAGCAUGGGGAGCGAACAGGAUUAGAUACCCUGGUAGUCCAUGCCGUAAACGUUGGGCACUAGGUGUGGGGAACAUUCCACGUUUUCCGCGCCGUAGCUAAC